rnacentral:lncRNA from 1 species
CACCCCGUCUGAUUCUAAUAUCUUUUCUUCUUCUGCUUUGUGCCUUGUUAACAGAUGAAGGAAAUGCAUACUGGUUAGUGAAACAUAACAAAUAGGAGGGAGAGUAGGGAGAAAAGCCCUUCAUCAAAAAGUUGGAGUUGACAACAGUUUUCCUGCCACGUGCCAUACAGGUGAGUGUUCUUUGUGUUGACUUUGAUGUGCGUGUCACUGUAAUGUCUAAUGUGCAACAGUCUGCUGCAGACAGACAUGAAGACAUUUUCUCAUGGUGACCUCAAAUUCUCCAACCCAUAGAUUGCCAGGCAUGAUGUUGACCAAUGAAAUCGUCACCACUUCAUUGCCGCUGCGUUCACUUUUCUUCUCCAGUGUCCCUCACAGGCAGGUGCGUUUUCCUUCUUUGAGGAGAAGUGAUAUGGAAACCAGGUGUGGUGACGUCCAGGUAUGUGUUCAAUUCUAAUAGCACACUGUACUGUCUCUCUAAUAACUGUUAGUUCUAGCUUUUGUUCAGCUGCUAUUAAACUAAAACUAUGCUUGUGUUUGAAAUCACUCCUUGUUUUCUAUGAUACACUAC